GGUUUGAUAAAUAAUAAAAGUGAUCGUUUCGCCUUCCCCAUAAAUGACACAGAUGGAGGGGCACUGUGAGACUGACUGCUCUCUGCACAGAGCUCAAGAGGCAGCAUACGCAAUAGAGGGUCAUCAGGGAGGUUUAUAAGGAUCCAAAGAGGAAUCUAAGUGCUGCAAUACCUAAUUUCUAAGAUGUCUGCAGACAAACUGUGUUUUCUCCAUUUUUUCAAUGCAUGGGGAAAGGGAGGUGUCACAGAAACUUACAAGCCAGUCAGGGAUUCACAUGAAAUAGUAAAGCUCUUUGAAAACUGAGGAUAAAGGUAUCAAACCCUUACUCAAGAAGACAUACCUGUUUCUUUGACACAAGAAUUCUUUUCUAUAAGACCCCAAUGCACCACUUUUGCACACUGCUAUGCAAAACCUGACAAAUAAAAACUGAACAAUAGGAAAGUCUACAGAGGAGUCCCAGCCACUCUUAACAUAGGAAUAGAGUACUCAUCUCAAAGGAGGCCAGUGUUAGAGGUGAGCAUUCAGUUCUCAGUCUCUCUCUCAGGAGACUACUAAGGUACUGGAUAAAGGUGUUUUGUGUGAUGCUGUUCAAACAGGUAAGAGAGUUGACCAUACUGGAAGUCCCUGGUGAGGCCAGCCCUUUGACAGCCUUACCAGGGUAUAAGCAUAAAGGAGUACAGUAGUAUCAGAAUCUCUAUUAUGGAGAUCACUGGACAGGGAAUAAAGGUCUUCAGUGUCCUAUAGAUGUACAGGGCAGUCCAGAAGGCUUCUGAGCAACAUAGUAAAGCCACAGUGUCAGUGCUUGGUGUAAAAGUCCUUUUGCAGAUGUAGCCUAAUGUGACAGUGACACACCAAAAUAUAUUUAUAGCAGAUCACUAGUAUACAGUCUAAAUUUACUGUGAAUUCUUCAGCACUGCAGGGUACAUUUUUUUUUCAAGUUUCCUAUUUCCACAGAGCUCCAAUGUAAGCUGUUGUCCUGUCAUUAAUGUUGCACAUCAGUGUACGGACAGACUUCGUGUUUUCUAAAAGAUGAAAAGGUGCUUGUCACAAGUGUAAGUAUCUGUGAUCCAAGUAGCACUGCAAG